CCUACGGGUGGCAGCAGUGGGGAAUAUUGGACAAUGGGCGAAAGCCUGAUCCAGCCAUGCCGCGUGUGUGAAGAAGGCCUUCGGGUUGUAAAGCACUUUCAGUGGGGAAGAAAGCCUUGGGGCUAAUACCCUCGAGGAAGGACAUCACCCACAGAAGAAGCACCGGCUAACUCCGUGCCAGCAGCCGCGGUAAUACGGAGGGUGCGAGCGUUAAUCGGAAUUACUGGGCGUAAAGCGCGCGUAGGCGGUCUGAUAAGCCGGUUGUGAAAGCCCCGGGCUCAACCUGGGAACGGCAUCCGGAACUGUCAGGCUAGAGUGCAGGAGAGGAAGGUAGAAGUCCCGGUGUAGCGGUGACAUGCGUAGAGAUCGGGAGGAAUACCAGUGGCGAAGGCGGCCUUCUGGACUGACACUGACGCUGAGGUGCGAAAGCGUGGGUAGCAAACAGGAUUAGAUACCCCGGUAGUC
rnacentral:rRNA from 1 species